UACGAAGGUGGCAAGCGUUGUUCGGAUUUACUGGGCGUAAAGGGCGCGUAGGCGGCCUUCUAAGUCGAACGUGAAAUCCCCGGGCUCAACCCGGGAACUGCGUCCGAUACUGGAAGGCUUGAAUCCGGGAGAGGGAUGCGGAAUUCCAGGUGUAGCGGUGAAAUGCGUAGAUAUCUGGAGGAACACCGGUGGCGAAGGCGGCAUCCUGGACCGGUAUUGACGCUGAGGCGCGAAAGCCAGGGGAGCAAACGGG
rnacentral:rRNA from 1 species